rnacentral:misc_RNA from 1 species
AAUCCCUUGUAGCGUGUCAACCUACAAACAUUGAAACAUUCAGCAUGAUAUAUAAUACUCAACUGCCUCUACUUAACAAAAUAACUUUGUAAAAAUUUCCACUUUUGGAAAAGAUAAGAGUUAUGGCCUAUAACAAGACCGAGGAAAACAACAAAAUGCAUUCUUAGUUAGUUUGUAAAAAGCUUCCUAUUAAAAACAUAACCUCAAACAAAUUACAACUAUGG